GCUGGGAACACAGCCCAAGCAAGGAGCUGUCUGUUCUCCCCAAGUGUCCUUGGGGUCACAGCUCAAGCCAGUGAGAUUUCCAUAGUGACCUGUGGCUAGUGGCUCAGCGUGGACCAUGGAGUUCUAGAAUCAUCUGGAUGAAGAGACGGUGAUGCAUGGACAAGGCUGGUGGCAGCAGCAAAGAAAGAAAACUAUCCUCAUUAAAGGCCUGAUGACUCACACCAUCCAGAUCUCCUCUGCUACCAGCUCCCAGCAGGUGAUUCUGUGGUGCUUAAUGAACAGUAGGCAACUGAACGAGACUGUGAGUUUGUUCUGUUCAAAAGAAAGAAGAAUGCCUCUUUUUUCCCUUGAACAAGUGAAGAGGGGACUAAAAAGAUUCUGUGCUUGACCAAACUUGAGUCAGGCUUCUAAAUCUUCCCCUUGGCCCAUUUAUGCCCUUUCUUGUGAAAUCCAGGUUUAGCGAGUACCAUUGCUAAAUCAGUUUAGCAAGAACCCCCCCAUUCUCAAUAUCUGAUCCUGUUCCUCAUUCUCCAUCAUCCCCCAGGUGAUGUCUGACUACCCUGGCCUGUCUUCAGCAAGAAUUCUGUUUUAUCAGUUUAGCCAGAAUCUCCCUUAACUCUUAUGUGUCCUUGCAGUAAUUCUUUUUGACAGAGUCUCACUCCGUCACCCAGGCUGGAGUGCAGUGGCACGAUUUUGGCUCACUGUAACUUCCAUCCCCCAGGUUCAAGCAAUUUGUGUGCCUCAUUCUCCUGAGUAGUUGGGACCACAGGUGUGUGCCACCAUACCCGCUGAUUUUUUAGAUUUGUACUAGAGACUGGGUUUUGCCAUGUUGCCCAGGUUGGUCUUGGACUCCUGAGCUCGGGGCAAUCAGCCCGCCUCAGCCUCUCAGAGUGCUAGGAUUACAGGUAUGAGCCACCGUGCCUGGCCUUCCUCUUAGUAAUUUUCUAUCCACUGACUCCACACUCUUCAUGGCUAUGCAUUCCCACCGAAUUGCCUAAAUUCCCUCCAAUCUCUCUCCCCAACUCUAAGACCCCAUCGCAGACCCCUGUAACUAUGUCAGUAGCCCUGAAGAGUCUUUCUAGCCAUGCUUGAACAAGUAUUAUUGAAUAUAUUUUCUUUAAGAACAGUAAGAAAAAAGCCAAGCAGGAAAGGGAUGUAAGUAAGAGUGAGAUGAGUAACACGCUCCCAAAGGGAGGGCUCAAGGAAGGAAAAGGAAAGAUCAAAUGAGUUCUUUACAAACCACAAAAAACUGCAGACACAACGCACAAACAAACUGAGCUCAGCUGAACUCUAAGUUUCAAGCAGAGAUGCUAGGACCACAGAGAGAUGAGAGGCAAGUUGAGGAAACAAAUGGAAGAAAAAGGUAAAACAUUAUAGUGACGGGAACCACAUUCAAAGCCACACAACCCUGAAAGCACAAGUGUGACAAAAUUAUGUAAAACAAUCUGGCACGAACUAUCCUGCAAAACCGAUCAUAAAGAAGAUGUAAAUGGCAGGCAAAGGGCAACUGAUUUUUCCAAGAAGAGAGUAGAAUGGAUGGAACUGAAAAGGCAUUCAAGGAAUGGGAAGCCCAUUCAAGUGGGAAGCCACUUUUCAGAAGGAGGACAUGGAUUUUCUUUUCUUUCUUUGAGAGGGAGUCUUGCACUGUUGCCCAGGCUGGAGUGCAGUGGUGCGAUCUCAGCUCACUGCAACCUCCGCCUCCUGAGUUCAAGUGAUUCUCCUGCCUCAGCCUCUUGAGCAGCUGGGACUACACGUGCCACCACCAUGCUCAGCUUAUUUUUUGUAUUUUUAGUAGAGAUGGGAUUUCACCAUGUUAGCCAGGAUGGUCUUGACCUCCUGACCUUCUUAUCCACCCACCUCGGCCUCCCAAAGUUCUGGGAUUACAGGCAUCAGCCACUGUGCCUGGCGGACAUGAACUUUCAAUUCAACUGAAUACAUUGUAUCCCAGAAAGAGAACCAGAGACAUAGUGACCCAUGCUGAAGCAUAACCAUGGUUAGCUUCCAAACACAAUGACGAAGGGAGAAUUCUAUCAAUAAAAAGCCAAAGGAACCCA
rnacentral:lncRNA from 13 species